UUGUAAUUAAAUCUUUUCAAAGAGGGACAAUGAGGGCUGUCUGUUUAUUUAAGAUUAUAUAAUAUCUACCCAGUCGUACACAAAAGAUGCCCCACUGUCUGUUAACAUCUAAAUUAAUCUGACCUCCUAUAUGUACUAUACAAUUUUCUCACUAUCGGUUUGGAUUAACACCAAGUAAAGGUAUAUAGAUAUAAAGUGUAUCACAGUGUGUAAAGUUAUAUUGGAACCAAUGUUAGCUGAAUACAAAUUCGGUUAUUGACUAGUUAAGUAGAGAGCAGCGAUAAUGGGGGAACGUCCAGAAACUUCAAUCAGUCAUGCUACAUAUAAAACAGAAUCUUCAUCGACAACCAACUACAGUGUUUUGCCCUCGCAUAGAGAGUGGACAGCAUUUGUUGGUCCUGUUGUUUACACCGGACCAAAUGGUGAACGUGACCAACAUGUAUCAGUUAACCUAGAUUUCCAAAUGGUGGGAAUAGGAGCACGUUCGCCGGAAAUAACCAGCCAAAUGAGUUACCUAAGCAGACCACCUCCUGGUUCAAAGUUUCCUAAAGCUAAACAUAAACAGAUUGGCGAAAUCGGAUGGCCUGUAGAAACCUUUAGAAUUGUAAAAGGAAUUUAACACUUUAAUACUACCGCAUUGUAGAAUACUUCUUUUCGUCAUCGGGUUUAAGGCUGACUUUUCAGUUCACACACAUUAUACAUAUAAGAUUGCUUUCAUUGGACGGGUUUCUUAAUAAUCAUGUGUAUUUUUCUAAAACUUAAGGGUGCAUCAAAUUUUUGAUUAAACAAAUCAAUAAUACUGAGUUUAAUCUUUGUAUGUAUAUUUAAACAACUUCAUUACUGAAAACAUUUUAAAACUUUCACAAAAUUUUGCAUCAUAAUUGUUUGCCUUUCGGCUUGCUGAUGUCAUUGUUUAAUAUACUCAGUUUAAUGUGCAUUUGGAAAGGGAUUUAAACCAUAAAUUUUUUUUAUUAUACAUAAGGCAACCAUUUCAUAUGUACUUGUAGAAGGACCUAUAUCUACACAAUGUACUAAUAUGUAUAUCAUUAGAAAAACAAUGUUAAUGUUUAAAUGUUGCAAAUAGUGGAAAAGAAAAGCGUACAUUUUUUUUGCUUGUGAUGUUAUAUAUAUACAAGUCUAAAUUGAAAACAACGUUCAAACCUAUGAUGUCGUUGGAUAAAACCGCAAUUUUUAUACGUGUGCAUGCAAAACAAAUUUCUUGGUAGUGGGGUCUAAAUACAGCACAAACAACAUUUUCCAAAAGACCAAAUGAGUGAAAAAGUAUAUUUUAACAAAACGCAUUUGACUAACAGGUCGAACAACUGAUGUUCUUAAACCCUGAUGACUGCCAUUGACGAUUGCCAAAUAAAUUGAUAACAAGAUUUAACAAAAUGGAUCUUAAUAUUAAUUUAAUACCAAACAGAAAACAAUAAACUUGCGGGAAAGAUGGUAUACCACAAACAUGAGGUGCAAAAAUUUGUACACCAUAUUAGGAUAUCGACAAUUAAUGUCUCUUCAGUGAUGUUAGGGAUCGAAACGGUAUUUGGAAGGCCAUAUAAUUUACCUCAAUUUAAGAUAAACUCUUGAAUUUUAAAGAGUCGAAAUAGGAUGAACGGAUCAUAUAAACCCGAGGGGAUAUAUAAUUCAAGCCCAAACGAAAAAAUAUAUCAAGUCUAAAUUGAAAACAACGUUCAAACCUAUGAUUGCGUUGGAUAAAAACCGCAAUUUUUAUACGUGUGCAAGUAAAACGAUUUCGUGUUAGAGGGGUCUAAAUACAGCACAAACAACAAUUUCCAAAAGACCAAAAAGAGUGAAAAAGUAUAUUUUAGCAAAACGCAUUUGACUAACAGGUCGAACAACUGAUGUUCUUAAACCCUGAUGACUGCCAUUGAUGAUGGCCAAAUAAAUUGAUCACAAGAUUUAACAAAAUGGAUCUUAAUAUUAAUUUAAUACCAAUUAGAAAACAAUACACUUGCGGGAAAUAUGGUAUACCACAAACAUAUAUAUCAGUAAAAAGGAAAUAUCUUCUAUAAAACCUCUGAGUCAAAUCCGUGAACAUAUAAUAGCUUAAAAAAUACAAUUCAGUAAAGAUAUUAAAAUGAACAUUCAUAUUUACAAAUAGAUGAUUUUGCUGAAGACGCGAUGCAUUAAGACACUUUUAUGAUGUCACACUGGUCGAGAGACACACCUUCCUCAAGACAACAUACUCAUAGUCUUAAACUUGCAGAGAGUUGAGAGUUUUUUUUUUACUUCGUGUUGAAGGCCUUACUGUUUGAGAUAAAGAAUAGCAAUAAAAGUGUUGUUUCUUUG